rnacentral:rRNA from 1 species
GACGAACGCUGGCGGCGUGCCUAAUACAUGCAAGUCGAACGGACAGACCCUGCUCUUGCUCCUCUCUCGAUAGCCGCGCACGUGAGAGUAACACGUGUAACCUCUCCCUAUCAUACUGAUAUCACUUCGGGAAAGCGGCGCUAAUCCCGGAUGAUCUCUUGCACCACAUCGUUGAAUAGAAAAAGUCGGCUUUUCUGUCACUUAUAGAUGCUUCCGGGCCGCAUUAGGUAGUUGGUAAGGUAACGGCUUACCACGGCUACGAUGCGUGGCCGACCGGAGAGGGGGAUCGGCGACACGGGAACUGAGACACGGACAAGGGGCCUACGGGAGGCAGCAGUAGGGAAUGUGCCGCAAUGGGCGGAAGCAUGACGGAGCAACGGGGCGUGAGUGAUGAAGGUCUUCGGAGCGUAAAACUCUGUUAUGAGGGAAGAACAAAUGUGUAAGGAACUAUGCACGGCUUGACGGUACUGAAUCAGAAAGCCACGGCUAACUACGUG